AAGACUCUGCGGUUCAACAUUGAUAGUAAAAAAAAAUAUCCGAUAAAAAACGUUGAAUGUAAAUGAUAUGAACCUGCAGAGUCUUAUAUUAUAGGACUAGUCUAUACACUCUCAUCCCCAACGAAACGAGUUAACUACACCGUACUGAAAUAUAAUUUAUAGUCUCAUCAAUUAGAAAAUACUCGACGGUCCGAACUUGCAAACAACUCUAAAGCUCCCUGAACAUUAUUUAAGAAAACAUCAUUACCUUUUAACUGACAAGUGCACUCCGUCAAGCCUGAAAUAAACCUCUAUCUUGAGCUUUUAUAUUUGUAUGGCAAAUUACAAGGCCAUGAUUUAAUUCUUCUUGAAUAUAUUGAACAAUUGCCUUAACUCGUUUACGAGUCGAAUUGAUAGCCACCUGAUUAUCUGACAAGUGUCAGUAUCUACGAGGCAAAAUUUCACUCCACACCAAGGAGAGAUUUUGCAAUAACACAUGUGAUUGCACAAUAUCCAACUUUAUUUGCUCAAUAAGCUUUUUUCCUUUGAUUAAACCCAAAACUUAGAACCCAAAUGGAUGAUCAAAAUUUGUGGAGAUGUUUAACAUCUCCACUUCUGACCGCCCAAUAUACAAAAGAUGAUCCCAUAACCAAAACUUGACGGGAUUUUACAAUGACAAAAUUCUUAAUGUUCUGUUAAAACCUUUACAAAACAUAUUAAAAUACAGCUUCGAAGAUCUUCGUAUCUAUAAAUCUAUCAAAUCCGAAUGUAACUAGUGUAUGCAUCAACCUAAACCAAACUUCCCGUCCCCACUUAAUUUUUGAAUCCGAAGCCCCCAUUCUGCUAUACUGGGAUGCUCCGCCUAUUCUAAACAAUUGUGAAUGAUGCGGUCUUUAACGCCACAAAAUAAAGGGGGUUUCUUAAGUAUAGAAAUAAACUGAAAACGAGUCAAUGGAGACCAAUUAAAAUGUUAAAACAAGGGUUUGUCAGAAACAGGGUAUCUUAUUCCCAAAAAGGCACGCAACAGCUCACAGGACAAAGAUUUGCUUCCCUUUGAGGAAUAACCAAAGUCGUUGAAGUACCUCUCUGGUCAGCUUUCGAACUGCAAAUCUUCAAAUGCAAUUCAUAUUUAUUAUUUGAAAAUUCCAAUGACAGAUUAAAGAAAAUUGGUGGGCUCCGAUAUAUGUACUCGUAUCGGCCGUGAUCUCACCUAUUCUAAAUAAAGCAAAAAAUGCAAGACUAAAUGCAGAAGCGAACAGACAAGAUUCAUGAUAGGAGCAAACGGAUGGUAGUGAUCGUAUAAUUUUGUGCAAAAUUUCUAAAGUAACAGGAGCGCGAAUACCUGAUAAUUUGGGACUCUUCCUUCGAAUUCCCUCUGACAUUUGGAAACUAUGAAAGUACAUGUAAUGUCAGUUAUACCUAAAAAUUUAUGAUUUAUGGCUAAUCCCGGAUAAGUAUCAUGUAUGUAUUGAUUGUAGAUGAUGUUAAUCCAGAAUACGAUAAGUAAGCUAUAAAACAUGUGAACACAACAAUUUGUAUAGGCCAUGAUAUAUUUAAGUCAUAUUCCUUGCUGAUUGAUAAUUCGAGGAGGGAUGAGAAUUAUUGCUCAUGACUACAGACGAUGACUGAUUGACAUUCCCCGUCACCACGCACAAAACCCACAAUUCCUGAUCAAUGACGCCCCAGGAAGAUGAUGGAAAGCGCUCUUUUUUUUUUAGUCGGUACUGAUCAUCGUACACGGCUCAACCAUGAUUGGUACCCCUAGACGACGCUAAUCGAAUGCUUUGCAUAUAUUUCAAAUACUCUUGGGCUUUCAUAGGCCAUUUUUCUAAUAGAAUUGCUAUAUAAAUCAUAAAGACCGAAGUCCAAAUUUCUAUAUUGUUCAAAGAAUCUGGUUUCUUAUUAACCACAGUCAGGGCACCUCCUUUCAAAACAAAAUCACCAUCCAAAGUUGAAUCAGACCCCAAAACUGCGGCAGAUUUUAGCAAUAAACCUAAAUGAAUAAACUCACCUCGCCAAAUUUUCUCCUUAAUCUUUAAUGGAAUAUGAGCCCCAAUCGGAUCAAAUAUGCUAGGGAUGCUUUCCGGAAUGUGGUUAACUAGGGAAAUUUCAUUACUGGCCAAGUGCGUGC
rnacentral:lncRNA from 1 species